UCCCUGGUGGCUCAGAUGGUAAAGCAUCUGUCUACAAAGCGGGAGACCUGGGUUCGAGCCCUGGGUUGGGAA
rnacentral:tRNA from 1 species